CCUACGGGUGGCUGCAGUGGGGAAUUUUGGACAAUGGGGGCAACCCUGAUCCAGCCAUUCCGCGUGAGUGAAGAAGGCCUUCGGGUUGUAAAGCUCUUUUGUCCGGAGCGAAACGGGCGGCCCUAAUACGGUCGUCUACUGACGGUACCGGAAGAAUAAGCACCGGCUAACUACGUGCCAGCAGCCGCGGUAAUACGUACGGAGCGACCGUGAAUCGGAAGUGCGGGGCGUAAAGUGUGAGCAGGAUGUGAAAUCCCCGGGCUCAACCUGGGAAUGGCAUUUGGGACUGCAAGGCUGGAGUGUGGCAGAGGGGACUAGAAUUCCUGGUGUAGCAGUGAAAUGCGUAGAUAUCAGGAGGAAUACCGAUGGCGAAGGCAGGUCCCUGGGUUAACACUGACGCUCAUGCACGAAAGCGUGGGGAGCAAACAGGAUUAGAUACCCCGGUAGUC
rnacentral:rRNA from 1 species